CACAUGUCAGGGUCGUGGGGUCUCAGCCAACCAGCAUUACUAGAGCAGGAUCCAACCCACAUUAGCCUUUUUUCUACUAUCCUGUUUCCCACACCUGUCCUGUCUCCAGAACACAUGCAAUGAACAGCCAAGACACCAGGGCACCAUCCAGUGCAAUGAACAGCCAAGACACCAGGGCACCAUCCAGUGCCAUGAACAGCCAAGACACCAGGGCACCAUCCAAGUCAGAGCCAACACGUUCCUGUGGGAGGGGGAUUUGGUUUGGCUGGAGUGCUGCUGUCCUCUUUAGUUGCUAAGACAUGGGAAGUUUUGGGGGUUCCAGUGGGCCAGGCUGUACACCCCAAUUCCAGGAAUCCUCUCAACUCUGUCACCCUGGUUGUAAGAUUACAAGGCCCAGUCUUUUCUGUGGGUCCAGUACUUUGCUGACUGAGGGACCUUUCCAGACCCAAGGACACACUGUAUCCUAACCAAAAGACCGAUCCAUUCAUCCAUCCACCCAUCUAUGUUGCUUUCCUUUCUUCAGAUUUAUUUUAUUUUUAUGUAAUGUCUGAGUGCCUAAAUCUACAUGGAUGCCUGGUACCCUCAGAGGCCAGAAGAGGCCAUCAGCUCCCCUGGACCUGCCAUGUGGGAACAGGGAAACAAAUGAGGUUUAGCCACAGAGCCAUCUCUAUAGCCUGCCCCCCAACCCUUCUGAAACAUAGUCAUGCUCUGUAGCUGAGGAUGGCCCACGACCCUCAUGUUUUAAUCCCUCAUGUGCUAGUGUUAAAG
rnacentral:lncRNA from 1 species